AAGGCCAAUCAAACCGGGAGAUAGCUGGUUCUCCCCGAAAGCUAUUUAGGUAGCGCCUCGUGAACUCAUCUUCGGGGGUAGAGCACUGUUUCGGCUAGGGGGUCAUCCCGACUUACCAACCCGAUGCAAACUACGAAUACCGAAGAAUGUUAUCACGGGAGACACACGGCGGGUGCUAACGUCCGUCGUGAAGAGGGAAACAACCCAGACCGCCAGCUAAGGUCCCAAAGUCAUGGUUAAGUGGGAAACGAUGUGGGAAGGCACAGACAGCCAGGAUGUUGGCUUAGAAGCAGCCAUCAUUUAAAGAAAGCGUAAUAGCUCACUGGUCGAG
rnacentral:rRNA from 1 species